GAUGAACGCUGGCGGCGUGCCUAAUACAUGCAAGUCGAGCGAACGGACGAGAAGCUUGCUUCUCUGUUGUUAGCGGCGGACGGGUGAGUAACACGUGGAUAACCUACCUAUAAGACUGGGAUAACUUCGGGAAACCGGAGCUAAUACCGGAUAAUAUUUUGAACCGUAUGGUUCAAGAGUGAAAGACGCUCUUGCUGUCACUUAUAGAUGGAUCCGCGUUGCAUUAGCUGGUUGGUAAGGUAACGGCUUACCAAGGCAACGAUGCAUAGCCGACCUGAGAGGGGGAUCGGCCACACGGGAACGGAGACACGGUCCAGACUCCUACGGGAGGCAGCAGAAGGGAAUCUUCCGCAAUGGGCGAAGGCCUGACGGAGCAACGCCGCGUGAGUGAUGAAGGUCUUCGGAUCGUAAAACUCUGUUAUUAGGGAAGAACAUAUGUGUAAGUAACUGUGCACAACUUGACGGUACCUAAUCAGAAAGCCACGGCUAACUACGUG
rnacentral:rRNA from 1 species